rnacentral:rRNA from 1 species
AGUGAACGCUGGGGGCAGGCCUAACACAUGCAAGUCGAACGGCAGCACAAGAGAGCUUGCUCUCUGGGUGGCGAGUGGCGGACGGGUGAGGAAUGCAUCGGAAUCUGCCCAUUUGUGGGGGAUAACCUCGGGAAACCGGGACUAAUACCGCAUACGACCUACGGGUGAAAGCAGGGGAUCUUCGGACCUUGCGCAGAUGGAUGAGCCGAUGCCGGAUUAGCUAGUUGGAGGGGUAAAGGCCCACCAAGGCGACGAUCCGUAGCUGGUCUGAGAGGAUGAUCAGCCACACUGGGACUGAGACACGGCCCAGACUCCUACGGGAGGCAGCAGUGGGGAAUAUUGGACAAUGGGCGCAAGCCUGAUCCAGCCAUGCCGCGUGUGUGAAGAAGGCCUUCGGGUUGUAAAGCACCUUUGUUGGGAAAGAAAAGCAGCCGGUUAAUACCCGGUUGUCAUGACGGUACCCAAAGAAUAAGCACCGGCUAACUUCGUG